rnacentral:SRP_RNA from 1 species
GCCGGGCGUUGUGGCGGGCGCCUGUGGUCCCAGCUACUUGGGAGGUGGAGGCAGGAGACUCGCUUGAGCCCAGGAGUUGGAGGUUGCUGUGAGUUGUAAUGCCACGGCACUCUACCCAGGGGGACAGCUUGAGGCUCUGUCUCAAAAAAAAGAAAAUUAUUUAUUUACUUUUAUUUCUUUUUUAAAGAACAUGUUGCUUUCUCUUUUCUUUUCUUUUCUUCUUUUUUUUUUUUUGAGACAGAGCCUCAGAGCCUCAAGCUGUCACCCUGGGUAUAGUGCUAUGGCAUCACAGCUCACAGCAACCCCCAACUCCUGGGCUCAAGCGAUUCUCCUGCCUCUA